GACGAACGCUGGCGGCGCGCUUAACACAUGCAAGUCGAGCGAGAACCAGACCUUCGGGUCUGGGGACAGCGGCGAACGGGUGAGUAACACGUGGGUAAUCAACCCUCGACACUGGGAUAGCCCGGGGAAACCCGGAUUAAUACCGGAUGGCCCUUCGGAUCUUCGGUUCUGAAGGAAAAGGUAGCUUCGGCCUCCGGUCGAGGACGAGCCCGCGGCGGAUUAGCUGGUUGGUGGGGUAACGGCCUACCAAGGCUGCGAUCCGUAGCUGGUCUGAGAGGACGAUCAGCCACACUGGGACUGAGACACGGCCCAGACUCCUACGGGGGGCCGCAGUGGGGAAUCUUGCGCUAAUGCGGGAAACCGUGACGCAGCGACGCCGCGUGAGGGAAGAAGGCCUUCGGGUUGUAAACCUCUUUCAGGAGGGACGAAGCUACUCGGGUUAAUAGCCCAGAGGGUGACGGUACCUCCAGAAGAAGCCCCGGCUAACUACGUGCCAGCCGCCGCAGUAA
rnacentral:rRNA from 1 species